rnacentral:rRNA from 1 species
AUGGAAGAAGAAAUUGAUGAAACUGUGAGCUCAUUGGAUGAAAAAGAUGAUGAGGAGAGCAAAGAACAAAAGGAGGAAGAGUGGAUUAGCUACCCGUGCCCACCUUCUAAUGAGAGUAACUCUUCAACUCAUACAUUGUUUAAUUCCCCUUCGUGCUUACCGAAGGAUGAUUGCUAUGAUGAUUGUUAUGAUCCCGUUGAUUCUCUUGAAAUAUCCCUUUUUGAUGAUGCUUGCUAUGCUUGUGGCCAAGAUGCCAUUAUGAAUUAUGCUUAUGGAGAUGAACUUGCUAUAGUUCCUUAUGUUAAACAUGAAAUUGUUGCUAUUGCACCCACGCAUGAUAGUCCUAUUAUCUUUUUGAAUUCUCCAAACUACACUAUAUCGAAGAAGUUUGUGCUUAUUAAGGAUUAUAUUGAUGGGUUGCGUUUUACUAGUGCACAUGAUGAUUUUUGA